AAACAGCUCCGGAGGCCCCGGCGGCAGCUUGCAGGCUUUCCUCGCGCAUGGAAGUCCCAGGGCUCUUCCUGUAAAUACCCAGGACCGUGUGUUCCUGCAUCUCUGAAACAUCACCAACUCUUUGCCCUCGCAUCCCUUUGGGGAAGUGGGACAGCAGCAUCAUGGAUCAGGAACUCUUCUGAUGUAGAAGAAGCAGGAACACUUUGAUGCUUUAUGGGUGCCUAUUGCCUGUGAGGGACCCAGCUGGUGCAGCAUGAACUGUGAUUUCUUGGACCUACCACAGCAACAAAUUCAGGAGCCAUGGGGACCUGGAAGAGCAGAAGGGAAAGCACACAGCAAGCUGAGAUUGAAAGUUUCUCUUUAUGGGUUUGAAAGGUUUCCUGUCAGCAACACCAGACUGUGAGUGCAGGAUGAAGAGACCUCACAGGAGUGUUGUAAAUCUUUCUGUAAUAUCCAGAAGGUGUGAAAAGCAAGGAAAUGGAGGCUCUGCUCCUUUGGUGCUGAUGUCACCACACAGGCAGACGUCAGCAUUGCAGGAAAUACCAGUGACGUUCCCUGGGAUGAAUCCUCCCCUCUUGGGAAGCGUGGUGAGAUCCAAGUGAGACAAAGCACAAACUCACUCCUGCAAAGCCAGAGAGUGGCUGUGGUUCAAUAUUCUGUCAGCUGUGAGAUUUAUCUCAGUCUUUGUAAGCCUUUGUUAUUAUCUCCUACAGUGUUAUCACCUUAUUUUCAUAAUUUUCUGCUUUACUGGGACAUUGCCUUUGUCAUCCUGCACCCUUUUCUAUCUAAUUAUGGAACAGAUGCAAUAAUAAGCUGGCUGUGGAUAGAUGUGCUAUGAGACUGUAACAAUGAGGUUUCUGUUCAUGGUUCACACUCCCAGAGCAGGUUCACUGUGUGCUUUAGGGACAAAACCAACUCACACCUUUUAUGAUCCAGGAAGAGUACCUGUGGGACAAAGGACUCUUUUGGUCCCCUGUUUCUCUCAGAUCCGUGUAAUCAUCCAAAUAUCCCAUUGUUAUUACUGUGAAGGUGUGUCCUGUCUGACCACCCUAAAUUCCUGGAUAUUUGUGUAUAGCUGGCCCUUGCUGAGACCUCAGUGUGUUCAGAGAGCCCAGAACUGAAGCUGUGCCUGCUCCUUCCCUGCUGGCACUGGCAUGGAUCAGUCAGCAUCACUGCAGUGCUGGGAAGUUGCAGCCUUGCCACGUGUGAGUCUGGCUGGCAGUGGGGUCAGGAGAGAGGGGUAACCUGCACCAGUGGGAUUUCCCACAGAGAGUGCCUCCAGGUGAGGAGCAGCACACCCAGGGCUCCCUUCCUCUGCCCCUCUUUUAUCUACAGGCAUCUGGUACCCCAUUCCAUCCUCUGCUCUCCUCGCUGUGUGAGACUCCCUUUGCAGAAAAAUAUAAAAGAGACGUACAGAAGGGGUCCCUCAGUAUUCUAUUCUGAUCUCACAGCAGUGUGAGUUCACUUCAGUAGAAUAACUCUUGAUUCAGGCCAUGAUUCACCCAUUUCUUGAGCAGCUAUCCAGUUUUAGGCACAUGAAUAAGGCAGCUACUCAUAGGAGGAUGACAGCCCUGUAGUGGAUUUUUCUAUUGGAGGGGACUUUCCAUCUUUAGAAUGGAGCAUAGCUGGGAUCAUAAAACUGUACUUAACACUAAAAGCUUAUUUCUUUAUUUUAAUGCUGAUAAAAUAAGUUGAAGAAAUGAAUGCAGUUUUAUUUCUUGUCAGUGAGAAGACCACACCUAUUAUAAUAUUCUACUCCUUCUCUUAACAGGGACUUCUGCUGAAAUUCCUCCCUGGCAGGGUGGGCAGGCCCUGGCACAGGGUGCCCAG